rnacentral:lncRNA from 11 species
ACUAGAAGCAUAAGGAUACCAUAGGAUGAUGCCACGGCAGUUAAAGGCUGUCUGUUUUCCCAUCAAGAGCGAAUCAAAACAUGAAUUAUACAUGGACAAGCUAAUUCCAUUUAUUCUGUCUAGCUCUCAGCCUCUGUAAAUCACAUCUACCAAAUGAUGUUUUUUUUUUCUUUUAAAAAAUGAAGACUAGGAAUAAUGGCACAGCUUGCAGACUUGCCAGAUUAAAUAUUGUUUGUGCAAUCAUUUAAACUGUUUAAUGGCAGGCUUCGUUGAUGAGACAGUGAGCACUUUGCUACCGCAUUGUCAGAUUUUCGUACUUCUGUGGUCUGCCCUAUAACCAUAGAUCCAUUUCUAGCAACGACUGGUACCUGGAUUGCAGUGGUUUUCUCAUAUCCAUUUCACUGUCCGCUGCAUGGAAACAGCAACUAGAAACUGAACGACAUUCAAUUAAAAUGAUAUUAGCAGUUCAGGAGUGAUUUUGCUUAAUUUACUCCUACUCAGAUGUAAAAACAUUAGUGACUUUUUAAAUUGGACCUCAUAAUGUCUCACACCCACACAGAUGCAAUGAAAUUAAAGACUUUGGUGGCUAAAUACCGCUUAAUUUACUCCUACC